GGAGAUUUAGCUCAGAGGUAGAGCACUUGCCUAGGAAGCGCAAGGCCCUGGGUUCGGUCCCCAGCUCCG
rnacentral:tRNA from 1 species